rnacentral:rRNA from 1 species
GAUGAACGCUGGCGGCGUGCCUAAUACAUGCAAGUCGAGCGAACGGACGAGACGCUUGCUUUUCUGAUGUUAGCGGCGGACGGGUGAGUAACACGUGGAUAACCUACCUAUAAGACUGGGAUAACUUCGGGAAACCGGAGCUAAUACCGGAUAAUAUUUUGAACCGCAUGGUUCAAAAGUGAAAGACGGUCUUGCUGUCACUUAUAGAUGGAUCCGCGCUGCAUUAGCUAGUUGGUAAGGUAACGGCUUACCAAGGCGACGAUGCGUAGCCGGCCUGAGAGGACGAUCAGCCACACUGGAACUGAGACACGGCCCAGACUCCUACGGGAGGCAGCAGUGGGGAAUUUUGGGCAAUGGGCGAAAGCCUGAUCCAGCAAUGCCGCGUGUGUGAAGAAGGCCUUCGGAUUGUAAAGCACUUUUGUCCGGAAAGAACACCUUGAUACUAAUACAGUCGCAUGAUGACGGUACCGGAACAAUAAGCCCCGGCUAACUACGUG